ensembl:snRNA U6 U6 spliceosomal RNA
GUGCUUUCUUCAGCAGCACAUAUACUAAAAUUGGAAUGAUAUAGAGAAGAUUAGCAUGGCCCCUUGCACAAGAAUGACAUGCAAAUUUGUAAAGCGUUACAUAUUUUU